rnacentral:rRNA from 1 species
AUACGGAGGGUGUGAGCGUUAAUCGGAAUUACUGGGCGUAAAGCGUGCGUAGGCGGUUUGCUAAGUCAGAUGUGAAAGCCCCGGGCUUAACCUGGGAACUGCAUUUGAUACUGGCAGACUAGAGUAUGAUAGAGGGGGGUAGAAUUCCUGGUGUAGCGGUGAAAUGCGUAGAUAUCAGGAGGAAUACCAGUGGCGAAGGCGGCCCCCUGGAUCAAUACUGACGCUGAGGUACGAAAGCGUGGGGAGCGAACAGGAUUAGAAACCCCAGUAGUCC